GAGUCCCUGCCCGGGUCUUCCUGCCUCCACGUGGCGAAGCCGCACCUGAAGCCCCACCUGGUCGCAAAGGCUGGUGCAGGGGAAACCGUUGGUUCAGCUGCGGUUCCUGGGAAGGGGGUGCCGCUCUGAUCACGCGCACUUCUGAUUCCCCUCUCGGGGCUCGGAAGCGGCUGAGGGCUCUGGACCCGGUCUCCGAGGCGUGAGGCGGUGGGAGGGUCGGCGGCCGCGUCCUCCACGACCCUGGGGAGAAGUCCCAGUUUCCGCGCAGCCGACAACGGUUGGACCCCGUCCCUCCGGCUUCACUGGGCACCGUGGGGGCAGAACCCGGCGGCGGCUUGGGGUGGGGGCGGGACCACGAUGGAGGGAGUCUGUUGGGCGGGACCUCGAAAUGCCUCUGCUCGCUUUCCUCUGCAUUCAUGCGGCUUGUACGAGGAUGCGCUGUUUCCUGGUGGUUUGUUAUACGGCAGUAGAUAACUGAUACAUCUCUCUUCACUACUUUGUUUGCGUUUUUAUAGGUCAGGGUCUUCCUCUGUCGCACAGGCUGGAGUGCAGUGGCUCGAUCACGGCUCACGGAAACCUCCAAUCCCUGGGCUCAAGCGAUCUUCCCUCAAAUUCAACAGUAGCUGGAACUACAGGCUCGUGACACCACAGCAGGCUAAUUUUUAAAUUUUUCGUGGAGAUGGGAGGUCACACUAUAUUGCCCAGGCUGGUCGCGAACUCCUGAGCUCAAGCGAUCUUCCCUCUUUGGCGUCCCAAAGAGCUGAGAUUGCAGGAGUUAACCUCACCGAAAGAUACAACCGAUUUAAGAAGAAAAUGUUAAAACUCUCUUCAAGGGCCUAUAGAAGAAACGGGAUGAAUGGAAACGUGAUUCACUCUGUGGACUGGCAGAUACCUCUGGAAAUCUGGUGUUCUAUUGUAAUAAGUUCUCGGGAAGGUAGAGACUUUUAUUUGGGACAUAGAGGCUUGGCCAACCAGAAUGGAGGACCCACCCAAGUCCCGCCCCCAAGCCUGAGCCCUCUCCUUUGCUCCACCCACUCUGCCUGAAGUCCCCUCAACCCCUCCGACUUCGCAGUCUCCCAGCCCGGCCUUCUGGGGCUGGUCUUCAUUGGAAGCCACGCCCCCAGGUCUGUCGGAUAAACAUUUUACAACCUA
rnacentral:lncRNA from 1 species